rnacentral:rRNA from 1 species
GAAUAUUGGACAAUGGGCGAAAGCCUGAUCCAGCCAUGCCGCGUGUGUGAAGAAGGUUUUCGGAUUGUAAAGCACUUUAAGUUGGGAGGAGGGGCAGUAAGCGAAUACCUUGCUGUUUUGACGUUACCGCCAGAAUAAGCACAGGCUAACUCUGUGCAGGCAGCCGCGGUAAUACCGAGGGUGCAAGCGUUAAUCGGAAUUACUUGGCGUAGAGCGCGCGUAGGUGGUUCGUUAAGUUGUAUGUGAAAUCCCCGGGCUCAACCUGGGAACUGCAUCCAAAACUGGCGAGCUAGAGUAGGGCAGAGGGUGGUGGAAUUUCCUGUGUAGCGGUGAAAUGCGUAGAUAUAGGAAGGAACACCAGUGGCGAAGGCGACCACCUGGGCUCAUACUGACACUGAGGUGCGAAAGCGUGGGGAGCAAACAG